ensembl:lncRNA
CACAGACAAUGAGUGUAGUAAAUAAGUUACGCGCAAUGUUGGAAAGUCUUAAGUGCUAUUUAACAAGUGGGGAGGGGUGGCUCAUGCCAGCGCAUGCAGAAGGUGAGGUGUCAUUUUGGAAAGCGCAGUAACAGAGGGCUUCGCAGAGCAGGUGACAUUUGACAGACUCAAAGGAGCAGAGCUGGGAGCUACCUGGGGAAGGAGCUCGAGGACAGGAGACAGCCUGGAGGCGCGAGGGUCCCACUGUAUAGUUCAGGAUGGCCUCAAACUCAUGGAGACCCUGCUUCCAAGAGCUGGAAUUAGAGGCAUGCACCGCCACCCUCGAAGCACUGACCUCUGGACAGACCCUCACAACUUCUAACUGUGUGUGAAAACAGCUGUCUGGUUGUCUCCAGGCCUUCAGAUUUCAGUUCCUCUGCACAUAACCCAGCUAAUUAGCAGCUUUGUCCUGUUGCUCGUGAUGGUCGUCUGACUUCAAUGUCUGCUCCUCCUCCUUCCUACUUUCCAAACCUGGUCGCAUGUUCAAGUCCAAUAUCCCACCUCCGACCACAGCGCUGAGCCUGCCUGGCCUAGGAGAAAGGGCCAAGGACCAUGCAAUAAAUGUGGCCGCCUCAUGGAGACAGGAUCCAUGAAUGUGAAAGAGAAGCCAAUAAAAAACACCCUUAGAGGCUCACAGGGGAAUUCUCCCAUCACAUGCACAAAAAGCAAACCCACAAACCUGACAGCGGUCAGAGAAGGCCCCAGAACUAUUGCUGAAA